CAACAAGUGUACUAAGUUUCAAGUUGAUUGGACUUCAGCUUCAUCAAAAACUACCUUGACCAAAAACUUUAACCUGAACGGACGGACGGACGGACGCACAGACGAACGGAGGCACAGACCAGAAAACAUUAUGCCACUCUACUAUCGUAGGUUGGGCAUAAAAAUCAUGAAAUUAGGAAAAAUUUGACAUCACGUACCGAGAGUAAUUUUUUUGCAUAAUGGGUACAUAAUAAUGUCUAAGGUUAUAAAUUAUGGCCAGUAAUUUGGUUAAUAGAUUAUGUCUUGCAAAUGAUGACAACAGCAUAUUUUAAAAAUUCAUAUCUUUAAGAGUGAAAUUUGUCUCUGUCAUACAUUUUAAGAUUUAGUGUACAUUACAUAGAUGUUAAACUCUAGAAAUGUUGAUAGUGCUAUCAUGUUUCUUUAGGAGAAAACUGUUAAUACCUCUACAUUGUUGAUAUAUGUUACUAACUUACUAUAAUUUCUUUUUUAUGAUAAAUCCUGUAUAAGUUGGUGCAAUGAAUAUUUUGUUGUUGUGUUAAUUUUUAAAUAGAUAUAAUUUAUUUAUAUGGAUGUGUAUCUAGCUAUCUCCUCUUUUAAUUAUAUUUAUAUGAAUUAAAUCUGUUUAUAUAAUAUGUCAGCAUCAUAUAUUUAUUGGUUCUUUUUCAGCUCACUGAAACCCAUGUUUUUACUCAGUAUAUUAAGAAUAUUGUCCCACAUACACCAACUCCACAUAUAUUGCAUUUUUAUAUAUUCAGUACAGUUUGAUGCAGAAUGAAACUAGAGCGUGAUGACAUGAGCAUGAAAAAAAUGAGAAAACAUACUAAAAACAUCAUUUAAAAAAUUGCAAAAAUUUUAUUUUGUUUUCAUUCCAUUAACCAGCUUUUAGUGAUCUGCAUUUGAAUGGGAGCAUAUAGUUGGAAUCCCCCCUUUACUCUGGGUUGGGAACAGAUGUUGUACAUUCUGUAAUAAACACAUAAACUUUAUUUUCAAAAUUAACUGUCCAACAAUUAUUUUUAGAUUCUUGAACUCCAGUAAAAUUGGAGGUAAAUUAUGCUUAGUAAACCUAUUCACCCGUGAAAUUUUGAAAUACAAAAAGAAACACAUUUUUGUUGGUUUUGCACAAUUUUGAAGGCUUUGCAGUGACUUUUAGGCCAUUGAUGUCUGUUUGCUAAUUGUCUCAUAGGCAAUCAUACCAUAUCUGUGUUUUUGGUAUCUUGGUAAAAUUCAAAGUAAUAUGAUUAGCUGCAAGAAAUAAGAAUUAUUUGUAUUGAUUUUGAAGUGAACCUCUAAACGUAUAUUUUUUGGUCAGAUUGUGCUGUUGAGUUGCUGUCUCAUUGAUAAGAAAUUUGACCAUAAAUCAAUUUUAAAAUUGGAUGCUGCUUCAAAAAAUUAACAUUAUUUGCAUUCUUUAGAUAUUCAUUCUUCUAAAUUGAAUGAAAUUUCAGUCUAAAAUCGUAAUGGGUUUUGUUUGGGUAAAGAGUUUUUUUUAUCUUCAAAAUUCUUGCAUCUCUUUCACUGAAGUCCAUUUUUUGCAAUAGAAGUUGUUUACAAUUUUCUUUUAAUCAAAGUAGGGCUUCAUUUUCAUUAAAAAAGGUCCAGAUUCUUUCAUGUUAAUUUAAGUUUUAGAUAUCUUUGUCGAAUUUCAAUGAAAUGUACAUAUAUUUCUAGUCAAUCUUUUCAAUCAUGCAUGUACAUGUAAGUAGAAAAUUUCAUUACAAAAAAUACAAAUAUUGAAUUUUUGUUAGAUACCAUUAACUUAAUCACUAUAAAUUUACACUUAUGUAAAUUUUCUCAUAGAUUUACAACUAGGAUGUUUCCUUAUCUAACUACAUCAAGCGAAUUUGAAAAAUCACGAAAUAAGUUUUGCCCCUUAGUCAGUACCGGGGUAGUCAUUUUAUUUGAAAUUUUAUCUUGAGCUGUUUUAACAAAGACUAGAUAUCAAAAUUAAUAUUGAACAGACAAAGUAGCUGAACCUAAGAUACCGUAGAUUUAUUCUCAUUCUUCUCGAGUAAAUUUAGUUUAAUCAACUUAUCCAGUAAAAAAUGUAACAUAAAGUCCAAUUAAUGAAUUGAUUCAGAACAAAACAAAUUAUUUUUAUAAAUAUAUUUGAAAUUAAAAAGAUCCCUGCAUCAACUCUUUAUGCAACAUAAUUAGAAAACAAUGUAGCUGUGAUUUGGUUGACCCCUAGGUAAUAUAUUACAUGAACUCCAGAGACUUAUCUUUGUUUAUACAUGUAGUUGUCCCUUAUAUUUUACAUAUGUAUUGUCCUUGAUCUUAUGUUUUAUACUGUUCUGAAUAAAUAACAUUAUAAAGAUUUUAAAUCUUGGUACUCUUUCUUAUGAUAUUUUGUUUACUUGUUAAGUUAUUUAUGAACAUUAGAAAUUAUAUCAUAGUUGUAGCCAUCUGAAAAGAUUGUGAGAUUGAUGAAAUUAAAACUGGUCUAAUUUUUAUCUAGCCUACAAAGAAUAUGGUACUAUGUAAGACAUAUGGAAGUUAAAAUUUAACAGUUGAAGUUCUUUGUAUAUCUCCAGAUUUCAGAAGGUGGAAGACGCUAUUACUUAA
rnacentral:lncRNA from 1 species